rnacentral:rRNA from 1 species
UUCCUUGAACCGCAUGGUUCAAGGAUGAAAGACGGUUUCGGCUGUCUGACUUACAGAUGGACCCGCGGCGCAUUAGCUAGUUGGUGGGGUAAUGGCUCACCAUAGGCGACGAUGCGUAGCCGACCUGAGAGGGUGAUCGGCCAGCACUGGGACUGAGACACGGCCCAGACUCCUACGGGAGGCAGCAGUAGGGAAUCUUCCGCAAUGGACGAAAGUCUGACGGAGCAACGCCGCGUGAGUGAUGAAGGUUUUCGCGAUCGUAAAGCUCUGUUGUUAGGGAAGAACAAGUGCGAGAGUAACUGCUCGCACCUUGACGGUACCUGACAACCAGAAAGCCACGGCUAACUACGUGCCAGCAGCCGCGGUAAUACGUAGGUGGCAAGCGUUGUCCGGAAUUAUUGGGCGUAAAGGGCUCGCAGGCGGUUUCUUAAGUCUGAUGUGAAAGCCGCCGGCUCAACCGGGGAGGGUCAUUGGAAACUGGGAAACUUGAGUGCAGAAGAGGAGAGUGGAAUUCCACGUGUAGCGGUGAAAUGCGUAGAGAUGUGGAGGAAACACCAGUGGCGAAAGGCGACUCUCUGGUCUGUAACUGACGCU